ACCCUUCCGUGAACCGUUUUGUUUGCUUUCGAGUGCUUUGUUGGCUCGGAGCAGUUUGGGCUUCGCUGCUGGCGCUUGAUUGUGCUGGCGGCUCGAGGCCAUCAAGCGGCGUUUUGAGUGUGUGUUCGCAUACAAUUAAACGUCCAAACCUUUAAACCCAUUGAUUGAAAACUGAAGUAUACUGGGGGACGAAAGUCCUCGCUUUGAAACUAGAUAACAACUUUCAGCAGUGGAUGUCUAGGCCGCACAUCGAUGAAGAACGCUGCAACUGCGAUACGUAAUGAAUUGCAGGAUUCAGUGAGUCAUCGAACUUUUGAACGCAUAUUGCACUUUCGGGUUACGCCUGGAAGUAUGUCUGUAUCAUGUCCGACACUAAACUUGCGUCUCUUCCGUCGUGUAGUCGUCGGUUGUUUGAUUGCAGAUGUGAGGUUGUCUCGCGAUCCGUUGCUUGUGACAGGGUUGCGAGUCCCUUUAAAGUCGGACGCGUGUUUUUCCGUUUUGUGCUUGAUGGGGUGCGGCUGCG
rnacentral:rRNA from 1 species